rnacentral:rRNA from 1 species
ACGGAGGGUGCGAGCGUUAAUCGGAAUUACUGGGCGUAAAGCGCAUGCAGGUGGUUCAUUAAGUCAGAUGUGAAAUCCCCGGGCUCAACCUGGGAACUGCAUUUCUGACUGCCUAACUAGAGUUUGAUAGAGGGGGGUGGAAUUCCAGGUGUAGCAGUGAAAUGCGUAGAGAUGUGGAGGAAUACCGAUGGCGAAGGCAGCCCCCUGGGUCAUGACUGACGCUCAGGUACGAAAGCGUGGGGAGCAAACGG